UACGUAGGGGCCUAGCGUUGUCCGGAUUUAUUGGGCGUAAAGAGCUCGUAGGCGGUUCGGUAAGUCAGGUGUGAAAUCUCCACGCUCAACGUGGAGGCGCCACCUGAAACUGUCGUGACUCGAGUCCGGUAGGGGAGUGUGGAAUUCCCGGUGUAGCGGUGAAAUGCGUAGAUAUGCGGAGGAACACCGAUGGCGAAGGCAAUCCCCUGGACCUGUACUGACGCUCAUGCACGAAAGCGUGGGGAGCAAACAGG
rnacentral:rRNA from 1 species